rnacentral:rRNA from 1 species
CGGAGGGUGCAAGCGUUAUCCGGAUUCACUGGGUUUAAAGGGUGCGUAGGUGGGCAGGUAAGUCAGUGGUGAAAUCUCCGGGCUUAACUCGGAAACUGCCGUUGAUACUAUCUGUCUUGAAUAUCGUGGAGGUUAGCGGAAUAUGUCAUGUAGCGGUGAAAUGCUUAGAUAUGACAUAGAACACCCAUUGCGAAGGCAGCUAACUACACGAUCAUUGACACUGAGGCACGGAAGCGUGGGGAGCAAACAGGAUUAGAUACCCUGGUAGUCCACGCCCUAAACGAUGGAUACUCGACAUCAGCGAUACACUGUUGGUGUCUGAGCGAAAGCAUUAAGUAUCCCACCUGGGAAGUACGACCGCAAGGUUG